rnacentral:rRNA from 1 species
CUAAUACAUGCAAGUCGAGCGGAGUUGAUGAGGCUUGCUUCUCUGAUGCUUAGCGGCGGACGGGUGAGUAACACGUAGGUAACCUGCCUGUAAGACUGGGAUAACUACCGGAAACGGUAGCUAAUACCGGAUAAUUUAUUUCUCUCCUGGGGAGAUAAUGAAAGACGGAGCAAUCUGUCACUUACAGAUGGGCCUGCGGCGCAUUAGCUAGUUGGUGAGGUAACGGCUCACCAAGGCGACGAUGCGUAGCCGACCUGAGAGGGUGAACGGCCACACUGGGACUGAGACACGGCCCAGACUCCUACGGGAGGCAGCAGUAGGGAAUCUUCCGCAAUGGACGAAAGUCUGACGGAGCAACGCCGCGUGAGUGAUGAAGGUUUUCGGAUCGUAAAGCUCUGUUGCCAGGGAAGAACGUCCGGUAGAGUAACUGCUACCGGAGUGACGGUACCUGAGAAGAAAGCCCCGGCUAACUACGUGCCAGCAGCCGCGGUAAUACGUAGGGGGCAAGCGUUGUCCGGAAUUAUUGGGCGUAAAGCGCGCGCAGGCGGUCACUUAAGUCUGGUGUUUAAGGCCAAGGCUCAACCUUGGUUCGCACUGGAAACUGGGUGAC